rnacentral:lncRNA from 1 species
CUCCCAUGGCCACAGCCAGACUUCGAGCUUCCAAGCUCUGGGGGACCCCCGCGGAGGGGGUGCGGGCAGUCGCGGUUGGACUGCCGACACUGCCGCCUCAGCAGCAGCGACCGCUCCCGGGUUCCAUUGGCCGCCUGCGCUUCCCUGACAGCGGCCGCGGAGGCUGCACCAGGCCCCGGCUGCGGGGCUGCCCGCGGCGCCGCCUGAGGGGGCCUUCAGGCUGCCACAAGUUCGACCGGGCCACACAACCUCUUCUUCCUCCCUCAGUACAACCAAGAC